GAUUCUCGACAACGGAUAUCUCGGCUCUCGCCUCGAGGAAGAAUAUAGCGAAAUGCGAUACUUGGUGCAGAAUCCCGUGAACCAUUGAGUCUUUUAAUCCAAGUUGCGCCCGAAGCCAUUAGGCCGAGGGCAAGUCUGCCUAGGUGUCA
rnacentral:rRNA from 2 species